rfam:Sus scrofa breed Duroc isolate TJ Tabasco Contig1304_1, whole genome shotgun sequence.
UUUUUAGUGUAAGUAUAUUCUGUGAGAUAUUUAGGAUAUACUUAUACUAAAA